GCCGGGGUGGCGGAACUGGUAGACGCGCCGGAUUCAAAAUCCGGUUCCCUCACGGGAGUGUCGGUUCGAUUCCGACCCUCGGUACCA
rnacentral:tRNA from 1 species